AGGCACCAGGAAGAGUCGGUGGCGAAGGAAGGUCACAUGGGCAGCAGGCAUGUCCGAGAAGUCAAAGGUCACAAGGAACAUCUUCACCACCGUCUGCCUUCUAGAGAUUGUAAAACAGAGUCAAGCAGUCCUUACCAGGAAGGGGGCUGGGGCACUAUGCUCAGAGACAUCAAAGAAGGUGACAGCAACAGGUAGGGUGACAUGCUGGGGGCAGUAGGAACCACUGGCCCCAAUCUCAGCAGUGAAGCCCUCAAUGUGGCCAGAUGGCACAAAUCGACCUCGAAGCAAUGACUCCUAUGUCAAUGUCGGACGUUGAAAGGGACAGCGUAUUAAAAGGAGAAAAACCAA